UACGUAGGGUGCAAGCGUUGCCCGGAUUUAUUGGGCGUAAAGGGCGCGUAGGCGGCUCGGCACGUCCGUUGUGAAAUCGCCCGGCUCAACUGGGCGGGGUCAGCGGAUACGGCCGAGCUUGAGCAAGCUAGGGGGCAAUGGAAUUCCCGGUGUAGUGGUGGAAUGCGCAGAUAUCAGGAGGAACACCGAUGGCGAAGGCAGGUCUCUGGGCCGCAACUGACGCUGAGGAGCGAAAGCAUGGGGAGCGAACAGG
rnacentral:rRNA from 1 species